rnacentral:rRNA from 1 species
UACGUAGGGGGCAAGCGUUGUCCGGAUUCAUUGGGCGUAAAGAGCUCGUAGGCGGUUCAGUAAGUCGGGUGUGAAAUCUCCGUGCUCAACACGGAGCGGCCACCUGAUACUGCUGUGACUCGAGUCCGGUAGGGGAGUGUGGAAUUCCCGGUGUAGCGGUGAAAUGCGCAGAUAUCAGGAGGAACACCGGUGGCGAAGGCGGGUCUCUGGGCCGAUAUUGACGCUGAGGAGCGAAAGCGUGGGGAGCGAACAGG